rnacentral:rRNA from 1 species
CAAUUUAAUAUUAUCAACCCAUCAUUAGUAUUGAAUAAAUUCAUAAAUUAUGAAAAAUAUUAUGCUAGAACUAGUAACAAGAAAAUGAAUUUCUCCAAAAUGUAAACAUAAACCAAAAUGGACAACCCAUUGGUGAUUAACGACUUUGUACUUAUUAUAGUAAAACAACUAGAAAACUCUAUAUUUUAUGCCGUUAACCUUACACAAGAACUCUUCUGGAAAGAUUAAAAGGAAAAGAAGGAACUCGGCAAAUUUUAACCCCGCCUGUUUACCAAAAACAUCGCCUUUUGCACAAAUAUAAAAGGUCCAGCCUGCCCAGUGUUUUUAAUCAACGGCCGCGUGAUUUAAGCGCGCUAAGGUAGCGUAAUAAUUUGUUCUUUAAAUAAGGACUUGUAUCAAUGGCAUCACGAGGGUUAUACUGUCUCCUCUCCCCAAUCAGUGAAACUAAUCUCCCUGUGAAAAAGCAGGGGUAAGACUAUAAGACGAGAAGACCCCAUGGAGCUUAAAAUACAGCAGCAACUAUAAUAAUAAUAUCAAUACAAUUUUUAGCCAUGUAUGCCAAUUUUAGGUUGGGGUGACCAUGGAGCAAAACAAAACCUCCACGACGAAAAGAGUAUACACCCUUAUCCAAGAGAUACCCCUCUAAGAAUUAUUAAAAUAACGUCCAAUGAUCCGACUAUCGACCAACGGACCAAGUUACCCUGGGGAUAACAGCGCAAUCCACUCUGAAAGCUCCUAUCGACGAGUGGGCUUACGACCUCGAUGUUGGAUCAGGAUAUCCCAGUGGUGCAGCCGCUACUAAAGG